UUCACUGUUGAUGGAGUUCCACUAGCUUUGUCUGCAUCAGUUCAUCAAGCCAUGAUUCAGAAAGAUGGAGGGUCAAACAAUCAUGAUCAGUCGUGCUAGCCCGGUCACUGCCGAACCCGCCGGAGCCACCACCAGCGCUGCCGUCUGUGCCACAUCUCAAAGACUUAUCUAACCAAAACAGUGAGUGGCAAACCAAGGCAUCUCCAGUGGCAAAGGACUGUGAUGGAAUCCCCGCUGAUUUGCCAUUUCAAUUCAUCUUUAGAAUAAAGUGGGAAUUCCAAUUAUUAUCGAUUAAUCUUCUAUUCACUACCAAAUAAAUGAUGCAACCUUCACAUCUCCACCUCUUCUUCAGCGAAGUACACGAGACUUCAUCCUGCUUGGGCGCCCUUCAUAUAUUGACCCUUGGUCCAGUGUAUAACUUCCCAUAUUCUAGAAUCGGUUCAUCCGGUUCAACCCAUCUGCGUUACCUUGUGCAAUCAUUCCCAUGGCAGCAUCAACAAGAC
rnacentral:lncRNA from 1 species